GGAUGGGUAUAGUCAGUGGUUGAGUGCGUGCUUAGCAUGCACGAGGUCCUGGGUUCAAUCCCCAGUACUUCCA
rnacentral:tRNA from 1 species